rnacentral:lncRNA from 1 species
CUUGUUAUCAUGGCUAUCCUUAUUCAAACCCCCUGAAGCUUUACUGGUGCAAUUACCCUCAUAAUUGCCCACAGACUUACUCUGUCCUUACUAUUCUGCUUAGCAAAUUCAAAUUACGAGUGAGUCCACAGCCGAAUUAUACUGCUCUCUUAACGCCUUCAACCAUUACUUCCACUAAUAGCUUUUUGAUGACUUACAGCAAAUCUUACCAACCUUGCCUUACCCCCCACCAUUAAUCUAAUAGGAGGACUCCUUGUAAUAAUAGCUUCAUUCUCCUGAUCAAACAUUACCAUUAUGCUUAUAGGACUUAAUAUAUUAACCACAGCCCUUUAUUCCCUUUAUAUACUUGUCACAAUACAACGAGGAACAUGUACAUGCUAUAUUAACAGUAUUAAACCCUCCUUUACAAGAGAAAAUAUAUUAAUAUUUAUACAUCUUUCACCUAUUCUUUUUAUCUCUAAACCC